rnacentral:lncRNA from 1 species
GUGUUUUUUUGCUUCUUCUUUUUUGGCUCCCUUAUUUAUCAAUUUGUCUCUUUUUAAAAUUUAGUUUUUUUGUUGUCAAAAGUACAUUUAAUUAUUUAUUCGGUAUUUCGUUUAGGGAAAUGAUAAUUCUUACAAAUCAAUAUGAUAACAAAAUGUAAGAAACAUUUUCUUUGUUUUCCUCUCAACAAGAAAAAAGAAUUGUUUCUUGCUUUUCUAACCACAGUUUCCUCGGUCUCGAUCUUUUUUAAAUGGUGA